rnacentral:piRNA from 1 species
UCCUAGUCUUGGCAAGAGACUACCUAAGUA